rnacentral:rRNA from 17 species
CCCCGGUAAACGGCGGCCGUAACUAUAACGGUCCUAAGGUAGCGAAAUUCCUUGUCGGGUAAGUUCCGACCUGCACGAAUGGCGUAAUGAUGGCCAGGCUGUCUCCACCCGAGACUCAGUGAAAUUGAACUCGCUGUGAAGAUGCAGUGUACCCGCGGCAAGACGGAAAGACCCCGUGAACCUUUACUAUAGCUUGACACUGAACAUUGAGCCUUGAUGUGUAGGAUAGGUGGGAGGCUUUGAAGUGUGGACGCCAGUCUGCAUGGAGCCGACCUUGAAAUACCACCCUUUAAUGUUUGAUGUUCUAACGUGGACCCGUAAUCCGGGUUGCGGACAGUGUCUGGUGGGUAGUUUGACUGGGGCGGUCUCCUCCUAAAGAGUAACGGAGGAGCACGAAGGUUGGCUAAUCCUGGUCGGACAUCAGGAGGUUAGUGCAAUGGCAUAAGCCAGCUUGACUGCGAGCGUGACGGCGCGAGCAGGUGCGAAAGCAGGUCAUAGUGAUCCGGUGGUUCUGAAUGGAAGGGCCAUCGCUCAACGGAUAAAAGGUACUCCGGGGAUAACAGGCUGAUACCGCCCAAGAGUUCAUAUCGACGGCGGUGUUUGGCACCUCGAUGUCGGCUCAUCACAUCCUGGGGCUGAAGUAGGUCCCAAGGGUAUGGCUGUUCGCCAUUUAAAGUGGUACGCGAGCUGGGUUUAGAACGUCGUGAGACAGUUCGGUCCCUAUCUGCCGUGGGCGCUGGAGAACUGAGGGGGGCUGCUCCUAGUACGAGAGGACCGGAGUGGACGCAUCACUGGUGUUCGGGUUGUCAUGCCAAUGGCACUGCCCGGUAGCUAAAUGCGGAAGAGAUAAGUGCUGAAAGCAUCUAAGCACGAAACUUGCCCCGAGAUGAGUUCUCCCUGAGACUUAGAGUCUCCUGAAGGAACGUUGAAGACGACGACGUUGAUAGGCCGGGUGUGUAAGCGCAGCGAUGCGUUGAGCUAACCGGUACUAAUGAACCGUGAGGCUUAACCUUACA